rnacentral:rRNA from 1 species
AGGAGUCGGACCUGCCCAGUGAAAGAGUUUUAACGGCCGCGGUACUCUGACCGUGCAAAGGUAGCAUAAUCACUUGCCUUAUAAUUGAAGGCUGGUAUGAAUGGUUUGACGAAAGCACAACUGUCUCCCUCCUGAUUUAUAGAAAUUAACAUUCAGGUGAAGAGGCCUGAUUAAAAUUGAAGGACGAGAAGACCCUGUCGAGCUUUAGGAAAAUGAAGAAAAUUUUAUAGCUAUAGAUAUAUGGCCUCUUUUAUCCUUUGGUUGGGGCGACUAGGGAACAAUAAAAGCUUCCCCUAUUUUCUAAACUUAUUUAUUAGGAUCCAGCAUGAAAUAUUUUGCUGAUUAAAAGAAUUAGUUACCGCAGGGAUAACAGCAUGAUCCUUCUUGAGAGACCAUAUCGAAAGAAGGGGUUGUGACCUCGAUGUUGGACUAGGAUAUCCUAAAGGUGCAGAAGCCUUUGAAGGUUGGUCUGUUCGACCAUUAAAAUCCU